AAAUGAGGGCAGGGGCCAGGUAAAUUACCUUGGAGGGCCACAUCCGGCCCCCGAGCCUUAGUUUGGGGACCCCUGGUUUAGGCGAAUCCAUUGCUCCGUGUUGUAGUCCCUAAAGUAAAGCAGCAGCUAUCACAUAUACAAGUCGAAUCACCCAAUCUGUAUGGAAAAAGUCACACGAGAAAGGACAAAGACCCACCCCGAGGAAAAGUGUUCUUGCCAUACUUCAAGGGAACCACUGGCCACAAAGGGAAGCUGAUGAAGAAACACAACCUACAAACUAUCUACAGACCCACGAAGAAAAUAAAGAACAGCACUCAGAAAACAGGGGAAUUCCAGGCUGGAAACAAUCAGGGCCAGCUAACACCUCCCAACAAAGGAUUCCCCCAGGCAGGAAGCAGCCAGGUGUUGAAUCUGCAAGGCUAUUCAAUGCUAAUUAAGGUGGCCAGAGUCACCAUUCACUCUAUGGAGCCCCUGAUGGCAUAGUGGGUUAAAGCCUUGUGACUUGAAGGUUGACUUGAAGCAAAGGCUGAGUUUGUGCAAAAUAAAUAAAUAAAUAAAUAAAAUUCCAGCAAUGUUAUUCUUUUAUCAUUUGGAGGCAUGGCCUGAUGCUCCAAAGGGCGGGAUAUAAAUGUAUUAAAUAAAUAAAUAAAUAAAUAAAUAAAUAAUUUUCCUACUUUUUCUUGUGUGCAAGGCAAAGGCUGAGUUUGUGCAAAAUAAAUAAAUAAAUAAAUAAAAUUCCAGCAAUGUUUUCUUUUAUCAUUUGGAGGCAUGGCCUGAUGCUCCAAAGGGCGGGAUAUAAAUGUAUUAAAUAAUACCUUGUUUCCCCAAAAAUAAGACAGUGUCGUAUAUUAAUUUUUGCUCCCAAAGAGGCGCUAGGUCUUAUUUUCAGGGGAUGUCUUAUUUUUCCACAAAGAAAAAUUCACGUUUAUGGUUGAAUGUUUAAAAAAUGAAAAUUUAUUAUCUACUGUACAGUAGUUGUCAUCACAAACCAGCAUAACCAAACUGUGAAUCCUUUCAAGAAUUUCUAUAUUAUAUUUUAUUGCUAUACUGUUUUUAAAUUACUGUUUUAAAUUUCUGUUCAUAUGUAAAUUUAUGUUGUUGUUGGGCUUGUCCCUGUGUAAGCUGCCCUGAGUCCCUUCUGGGAGAUGGAGGUGGGAUACAAGAAUAAAGUUAUUAUAUUAUUAUUAUUAUUAUUAUUAUUAUUAUUUCUUGUUCCUACCUUUAUUUCCAUGUACAACAAUCCUGCAUGCUUCCAAACAAAAACUUUGCUAGGUCUUACUUUCAGGAGAGGCCUUAUAUUUAGCAACUAGCUGUGCCCGGCCACGCGUUGCUGUGGCAAAGUAUGGUGGUAUGGGAAAUAAAGUAUUGAAGAAUUGGUGGUAGUUAAGGUAAAGGGUAAAGGUUUUCUCCUGACAUUAAGUCCAGUUGUGUCCGACUGCACACUGAAGUGGAUUAUAUGGCAGUGUGGAGUCAAGAUAAUCCAGUUCAAAGCAGAUAAUAUGAGAUUAUAAAUGGAUUAUAUAGCUGUGUGGAAGGGCCCUUGAGUCUACACUGCCAUAUAAUCCAGUUCAAAUCAGAUAAUCUGUAUUUUAUAGGCAGUGUGGAAGAGGCCUAAGUGAGGCCUAACUCUUCCUGUCCCCUGGGCUGCGUGGGUUGCUAGGAGACCAAGUGGGCGGAGCUUAGCCUUCUAACUGGCAGCAAUUGGAUAAAAACAAUUAUUCCUCUCCCUCUAAUUAGGACUUUAUUUUUCUUUUGUUUUUUGUUGUAUGAACAUAGAGGCAUGGAUGAGGGGUUGUGCUGCCAAGUUUAGUGUUUCUGGGAUGUGUAGUUUUGUUGUUUUGUCCUAGGCCGAAAUUUCAUUACCUUUUUAUAUAGAUAGAUUCAGCAAAACCUCUACUAGGUCUUAUUUUUCUGGGGAUGUGUUAUUUUCAGGGAAACAGGGUAAAUAAAUAAAUAAAUAAAUAAAUUUCCUACUUUUUCUUGUGUGCAAGGCAAAGGCCGAGUUUGUGCAAAAUAAAUAAAUAAAUAAAAUUCCAGCAAUGUUUUUCUUUUAUCAUUUGGAGGCAUGGCCUGAUGCUCCGGCACAUGCCACGGAAGUUCUCCGAUUGCCACCUGGUGGUGCCCAGCCUGCUCAACAGUGAGUAAGGAGUAGAAGCCAUGCCCUAGGAGAUGUUCCACAGGGAGAAAAAGACACACACACACACACACACACACAGCAUGCAUUGCAUCUUUUGGCAGCCGUGCUUGGCAACCGACCUUGGGCUGUCCUUGCAGGGAACGCCAAGGCUGGCUGGGCCUGGAGCCCCCUCGACAAGGAAAGCAAUUCAGCAGGAAAAGAAAAAUAGGAGCGGAGUCACUCGGCACCCAUCAUGGGAAGCAAAGCUAACGGGAACAGGCAGGAGCAUUCAACAUCUAUCUCUGACUGUUUUAGAUAAACAGUUUUACCAUCCUUGUGGAAGGCUUCUCUCAUGUCCCCACAUGGAGCUGGAGCUAACAGAGGGAGCUCAUCCGCACUCUCCCCGGGUUGGAUUCGAACCUGGCAGCCUUCAGGUCAGCAACCCAACCUUCAAGUCGCAAGGCUUUAACCCACUACACCACCGGUGGCAUCUCCUGGGCAACGUCCUUGCAGACAGCCCAUUCUCUCACACCAGAAGCGACUUGCAGUUUCUCAAGUCGCUCCUGACAUGAAAAAAAAGAUAAACAGUAGAUUUUGUUUCUCUAAGGAUUCCUCUUUCUUUACCAACAGCAUUUGUUGCCUUUUCUAUAACGAAGAAUAUCUGUGGAACACCUUUUGAAUAUCUGCAUUAUCAGCAAUUAUCUCUUUCCCCUCUUGUAUCUUUAUUUCUCUCUCUCUCUCUGUUUCUUUUUAUAACUUAAACGCCAACAAUCUCCCUGGCAUAUUUGCAAAUUCAACGUUCUUUGGCUUUUGCAUAAUGCAUUUUUUUUUCUCUCGAUCUCAAGUCACAGUUAGCACUGAUAGCCGUCUCUGUAAAAUUUUAAUAUAUGAUUCAUCACAGCCAUUUUUUGAAGGAGAUUUCUCUAAUUAUUCUACCAGAUGCAUCUUGUAUAUAUUUUGGCAUAAUGAGACACAGGCGGUAUUUAUAUUUUGAGAUACUGAAACCCCAUCUGAUAAUUUCAACUCGGUCUUUUCAUUCACAAUUUUUUUCGAAUAUAUGACUUCCAGUGCUAACUUCAUUAUUUGGAUUUAAAGAGAUUGAUGAUGCACAUAAAUUUUUGCUUAUCUUGCAGAAUGAAGACAGCUUGACGCCACUUUAAAUGGCGUGUCUAAAUGUCAUGGAAACACGGGAGUUGUGGUUUUACAAGGUCGUGAGCCUUCUCUGCCAAACUACAACUCCUAUUCCAACAAAAGAAAAUGACAAGCAAUCUCACAAUUGUGUGUCUCUAUGGCAAGGACAUCCUCUUGCAUCUGCCCUCCAAGGUUUCGUGAGCAAGCAUGCAAAUGACCUGACCGGAGGCUGCUUGGUUUAAAUAUAGGCAGUGCCAGGAGGGCAUCCGGCGUGGCACAUGGAGAAGAGACAAACACAGAGAUGGAAACACCCCUCGAAAACACCGCGAGUUUGCUUCUGAAUUCUUCUGGAGUGGCCACAUGCUCAUAUGCUCAAUGCUUCUUGGCUUGAUGACAAUUAGGGGAGACAAUGUCAGCCAAUUUGUCAUCAGGUGGAUUGCAGGCCUCUCUAAUGCUAUAUAUUCAACGUUCUCAUAGGUGCAAUCUGCACUGAUUCUGGUAGAAUAGAAUCCCACUUACACGACUUCCGCUAAUUAUAAUAUUAUAAUGGAAUACAAUAUUAUACUACUAAUAAUGCAAUAUAAUUAUAUUAAUUAUAUAUUAUAUAUUAAAUGUAAUAUUACUAAUAAUAUUACCAUAUAAUGAUAUAGUACAAUAUAGUAAUUUAAUGCUUAUAUUGUGCUAUGCUAAUAAUAUAUUGUAUGUUCAUUUGAUUUGUAAGCCGCUCUGAGUCCCCUUUGGGGUGAGAAGAGAGGGAUAUAAAUGUAGUAAAUAUUACUAUUUACUAUAAAAUUAUUACUAAUAAUAUUACCAUAUAAUGAUAUAGUACAAUAUAGUAAUUUAAUGCUUAUAUUGUGCUAUGCUAAUAAUAUAUUGUAUGUUCAUUUGAUUUGUAACCUGCUCUGAGUUCUCACCGCGGGGUAAGAAGAGCGGGAUAUAAAUGUAGUAAAUAUUACUAUUUACUAUAAAAUUAUUACUAAUAAUAUUACCAUAUAAUGAUAUAGUACAAUAUAGUAAUUUAAUGUUCAUAUUGCGUUAUGCUAAUAAUAUAUUGUAUGUUCAUUUGAUUUGUAAGCCGCUCUGAGUCCUCUUCGGGGUAAGAAGAGCAGGAUAUAAAUGUAGUAAAUAAAUAUUACUAAUAAUAUUACCAUAUAAUGAUGUAGUACAAUAUAGUAAUUUAAUGCUUUAACAACACAACCGUUCAAUGCUAAGGCUUCCCCAUCUGCACAGGGUUCCACACUUCGCACUUUAACAACACAACCGUUCAAUGCUAAGGCUUCCCCAUCUGCACAGGGUUCCAUACUUCGCACUUUAACAACACAACUGUUCAAUGCUAAGGCUUCCCCAUCUGCGCAGGGUUCCACACUUCGUACUUUAACAACACAACCGUUCAAUGCUAAGGCUUCCCCAUCUGCGCAGGGUUCCAUACUUCGCACUUUAACAACACAACCGUUCAAUGCUCAGGCUUCCCCGUCUGUGCCGGGCUCCAUACUUUGCACUUUAACAACACAACCGUUCAAUGCUAAGGCUUCUCCAUCUGGCAGGGUUCCAUACUUCACACUUUAACAACACAACCGUUCAAUGCUCAGGCUUCCCAUCAAAUGGAACUGAUCUUUGUAGGUUCGACCUAUUUGCCGACUUAGCAUAGACCCACAGGUAUGCCUUCUCAGCAGGGCUGGCCGGAGAUAAUUUAUAAUAUUAAGUGGGGGUGGAGAAAAGCGCCCCCACCCCGCUGGCGCCACGCAGGGGGUGGGGAAAAGCGCCCCCCCCACAGGGGCGGGGGAAGCCUGACGGUGCCCCCCAGGGACCUGCGCCCGAGGCGGCCGCCUCACGUGGCCUCUAUGGUGGGGCCGGCCCUGCUUCUCAGUAUUAUACUUAGCACUUUAAUGCCUUCAUCAGUUGGGCAACUACCCCUCCCUGAUGACUCUGACAUAUUUUGCACUUUGGCCCAGAUCUGUGAUUUUAACUCAUGUUUUUAACACCUUAUUUUGUAUGUUGACCUUUUAUGACUGUUCAAUGCUAAGGCUUCCUUCCAAAUGGAACUGUAGAGGAGAGUCUACUGAACGAGUGAGUACCUGCCACAGACCAGGACUGCCAUCUGUUGAGGAUUAUGAAGGUGGAGGCAUUACUUUUCAUUCAACCCUCGUAAUAUGAAAUAUUUUGUGGUGGCUUAGUCUUUUUUGGGCAACUAAGUCCCACCAGCCUUACAAGAGACCGGCUUCUGAUCUGAAGUUGGAAUUGCUACUGUGGUUCAAAUGCCCACUGGCUCCACUGGCUAGGAAAUUCUUGGGAGUUGUAGUUGAGUGACCAGGGUGAGUGUAGGAUUAGGUCUACUCAUUGCUGAAGGGAAAACUAAAUCCUUUAGGCAUAUCAUAGGCCGGGCUAGAGCACAGGAAGAAAGGAAGCAUGUACAAAUGAUCUCUCAGUCACUUGCAUUCCAACUUUCCUGCUGUGUCAUUGAGAAACUGCACACUUUGAGGAGCAUCAAAUGUGUUUGAGUCUAAAUCCAUCAGCCGGCCGGGGCCCUGUUUCCAUGGCAACAGGGCUAGGUGACAGCUACCCCGGCCGUGACAAUCGCCAUCGCCUUCUUUUGCACAACCGCCACCCAAGAGUCAGUGGGCUGAAAUGUCUGCCACAGCUGCCUGUGUGAGAGCUAAUGGAGGCUUCUCCAUCAUCGCCAAGCCAUCUCUACAACAACUAGCCAUGUUUGGUCGCUACAACCAUCUGCUUUCCAGACUCCUCCUCUCCCCCCCCCCACACACACACACACAAACCCAGACAACAUGUAGCCGGGAGCGAGUGGGUGGGUGGUCUCAGCCCAAGUGACGGUGCGUGUGGGUGUUGUUGUUGUGCGUCUACAUGGGAAAAGAAAACUUGGAGAGACUUCUUGACGUAAGCGAGAACCAUUUGGCACUCCUCGUGAGACGAAGGGCGUGUUCGUGGAGGGGUUAUGUAAACUGAAACUGUCUGGUUGCUGUCGGGAUACUAAAACACAUUGCCGUCGGGGCCUUACACACACACACACAAAAGGCAAACAGAGAAGGGUUAGAUUUGCACAGGGAUGGAGUGACAAGGUUUAAGGCACAUUACCUAUAUGCAAACAGCCCUGAAUCUGCAAAGCUGGCAGGAGCCAAGGCUCCAGUGUUUGUAAUCCAUGAAUAGAGCCUCAAACAGAAAAGCAUCUUAGUUUUGGCCUCCCAGAAUCUCAUUUUUAUCCCUGCUGCUACCAUCCCAGUAUAUGUCACUGCUCCAGAACUGGUUCUGAAAGAGUAGCGGAAGUUCUCUGGGAUUUCAGAGAACGCUCUUUCUCAGCCUACUAAGAAAAAACAGAGUCUGGACCUAGGGCUUUCUCCCUCCAAAACAGAUGCUCUGGUGCUCUAGAUCCUCUCUAAUUGCAAGCUGCAUUAUAACCUCUAGAUCAGGGGUCCCCAAACUUUUUAAGCAGAGGGUCAGUCCACAAUCCUUCAGACUGUUGAGGGGCCGAAUUAUCAUUUGAAAAAACAAAAAACAAAUUCCUUUGCAUACUGCACAUGUCUUAUUUGUAGUGCAACAACAACAACAAUGAAAGAACAAUACAAUAUUUAAAAAUGAAAACAAUUUUUACCAACAUAAACCUCUUAGGAUUUCAAUGGAAAGGGUGGGCCUGCUAAUGGCCAAUGAGAUAGCCAAGUUAAUUAGGAUUGUUGUUGUUGUUGUUGUUGUUGUUGUUGUUGUUGUGUGCCUUCAGGUCAUGUCAGCCGAGCCUAAGUCUAAAAUUAAUUAUUUAUUUACUGCAUUUAUUUACUACAUUUAUAUCCCACCCUUCUCACCCCGAAGGGGACUCAGAGCAGCCGUAUGUACAUACAAUAUAUUAUAUUAUUAGCAUAACACAAUAUUAGCACUAUAUAUUACUAUAUUGAACUACACCACUAUACUAUUAUACAAUAUGUAAUAUAUAUAUAUACAGUAGAGUCUCACUUAUCCAAGCUAAAUGGGCCGGCAGAAGCUUGGAUAAGCGAAUAACUUGGAUAAUAAGAAGGGAUUAAGGAAAAGCCUAUUAAACAUCAAAUUAGGUUAUGAUUUUACAAAUUAAGCACCAAAACAUCCUGUUAUACAGCAAAUUGGACAGAAAAGGUAGUUCAAUACGCAGUAAUGUAUUUACGAAUUUAGCAUCAAAAUAUCAUGAUAUAUUCAAAACAUUGACUACAAAAAUGGCUUGGAUUAUCCAGAGGCUUGGAUAAGCGAGGCUUGGAUUAGUGAGACUCUACUGUAACAUAUAAUUAAUAUUAUUAUAUGGUACAGUAUUACUAUUAGUAUUAUAUUGUAUAGCAUAAGAUUAUUAUUAAUAUUAUAUGUAUAUACAAUAUAUUAUUAAAACUGAUGUAAAAAUAUUAUAUUAUAAAACUGAGGGCGGGGGCCAGGUAAAUGACCUUGGAGGGCCGCAUCCGGCCCCCGGGCCUUAGUUUGGGGACCCCUGCUCUAGAUCAUCUCUAUGAGGGUUGAAUGAAAAGUAAUGCCUCCACCUUCGUAAUUCCUCAACAGAUGGCAGUCCUAGUAUGCAGCAGGCCCUAGCUUGUUCAGUAGACUCUCCUCUACAGUUAAUAAUAAUAAUAAUAAUAAUAAUAAUAAUAAUAAUAAUAAUAAUAACUUUAUUCUUAUACCCCGCCCCAUCUCCCCGAAGGGACUCGGGGUGGCUUACAUGGGGCCAUGCCCAAACACCACAAUAUAAAAGCAAACAAAACAAUAAAGCAAAUCACUCAACAAUAAAAACAACAAUAUCGAUAAAAACAGUCAUAAAAGGUCAACAUACAAAAUAAGGUGUUAAAAACAUGAGUUAAAAUCACAGAUCUGGGCCAAAGUGCAAAAUAUGUCAGAGUCAUCAGGGAGGGGUAGUUGCCCAACUGAUGAAGGCAUUAAAGUGCUAAGUAUAAUACUGAGAAGGCAUACCUGUGGGUCUAUGCUAAGUCGGCAAAUAGGUCGAACCUACAAAGAUCAGUUCCAUUUGAUGGGAAGCCUGAGCAUUGAACGGUUGUGUUGUUAAAGUGUGAAGUAUGGAACCCUGCCAGAUGGAGAAGCCUUAGCAUUGAACGGUUGUGUUGUUAAAGUGCAAAGUAUGGAGCCCGGCACAGACGGGGAAGCCUGAGCAUUGAACGGUUGUGUUGUUAAAAUGUGAAGUAUGGAACCCUGUGCAGAUGGGGAAGCCUUAGCAUUGAAUGGUUGUGUUGUUAAAGUGCAAAGUAUGGAGCCCGGAACAGACGGGGAAGCCUUAGCAUUGAACGGUUGUGUUGUUAAAGUGUGAAGUAUGGAACCCUGCCAGACGGAGAAGCCUUAGCAUUGAACGGUUGUGUUGUUAAAGUGCAAAGUAUGGAGCCCGGCACAGACGGGGAAGCCUGAGCAUUGAACGGUUGUGUUGUUAAAGUGCAAAGUAUGGAACCCUGCGCAGACAGGGAAGCCUUAGCAUUGAACGGUUGUGUUGUUAAAGUGCCAAAUAUGGAACCCUGCGCAGACGGUCGGUCAAUGCAACUUAAGCAACGUGCAAUUCUUGACAGCAGAAGGUGUCACCGCAAAGGAGAUUCAGGAGAGAAUGCAAGCUGUUUGUGGUGAUUGUGUUGAUGUGAGUACUGUGUGUCAUUGGGCGAGUAAGUUUAAAGAUGUUGAGGUGGGAACAUCUGACUUGCGUGACAAACAAAGAGUUGGACGUCCUGUGACAGCAACCACUGAAUUUUACAAGCAAAAGUUUGACAGAUUGAUUCAGGACGAUUGUUGUAUCCCUCAGAGAGAAAUUUCAAGCAUCAUUGACAUUUCACAAGAAUGAGUGGGUCACAUUAUUGCUUUGCUUGGCUAUCGGAAGAUCUGUGCAUGAUGGGUCUUGUGAGACACUGGUUGUGGAAACCGAGUGUCGACUUCUUCCAUGACGGCUUCAGAAAACAUGUUCAUUGUUGGCAGAAAUGUAUCCAAUUGUCUGGUGAUUGUGUGGAAAAGUGAAAAGUGAUUGUUAAAGAGUACAUUCUAAGGGUUAUUUCUGUGUUGGAUUUAUUAAAAUAUUCCCAUCCAAACCCAAGUAA